rnacentral:rRNA from 1 species
CGAAGCCGCAUGGCUUUGCGGUAAAAGAUUUAUCGGACAGAGAUGGACCCGCGUCUGAUUAGCCAGUUGGCAGGGUAACGGCCUACCAAAGCAACGAUCAGUAGCCGGCCUGAGAGGGCGGACGGCCACAUUGGGACUGAGACACGGCCCAGACUCCUACGGGAGGCAGCAGUGGGGGAUAUUGCACAAUGGAGGAAACUCUGAUGCAGCGACGCCGCGUGAGUGAUGAAGUAUUUCGGUAUGUAAAGCUCUAUCAGCAGGGAAGAAAGGCCCCGAAAGGGGAGAUGACGGUACCUGAGUAAGAAGCCCCGGCUAACUACGUGCCAGCAGCCGCGGUAAUACGUAGGGGGCGAGCGUUAUCCGGAUUUACUGGGUGUAAAGGGAGCGCAGACGGAGAAGCAAGUCUGAUGUGAAAGCCCGCGGCUCAACCGCGGGACUGCAUUGGAAACUGCUUCUCUGGAGUACUGGAAGGGCAAGCGGAAUUCCUGGUGUAGCGGUGAAAUGCGUAGAUAUCAGGAGGAACACCGGUGGCGAAGGCGGCUUGCUGGACAGUAACUGACGUUGAGGCUCGAAAGCGUGG